rnacentral:rRNA from 1 species
GGGGAAUAUUGCACAAUGGGGGAAACCCUGAUGCAGCGACGCCGCGUGAAGGAUGAAGUAUUUCGGUAUGUAAACUUCUAUCAGCAGGGAAGAAAAUGACGGUACCUGACUAAGAAGCCCCGGCUAACUACGUGCCAGCAGCCGCGGUAAUACGUAGGGGGCAAGCGUUAUCCGGAUUUACUGGGUGUAAAGGGAGCGUAGACGGCUAUGCAAGUCUGGUGUGAAAACCCGGGGCUCAACCCCGGGACUGCAUUGGAAACUGUGUGGCUUGAGUGUCGGAGAGGUAAGUGGAAUUCCUAGUGUAGCGGUGAAAUGCGUAGAUAUUAGGAGGAACACCAGUGGCGAAGGCGGCUUACUGGACGAUGACUGACGUUGAGGCUCGAAAGCGUGGGGAGCAAAC